rnacentral:lncRNA from 1 species
GUGACAAGCACCUCCUCGGUGAUGCACAUUGUUGUCCUCUAAGACUUCUAGGUCAUGGACUCUGAGGAGUUUUGAAUCAUCGAUGUUAGGAUAGAGUCCUAGACCACUACCGACUUCUUGAGGAAUCCUCUCAAAUCGGUGAGAGCCUCAGGUUAUUCUUUUUUUUCUCGAUCAUGAUAUCGGCUGAGGUCCCAUGCAUCUCGAAGGCUUCCUCGACUGGGGCAUAUUUCUUAGCUUGAUUUAGCAUCUUGAUGAAGU